rnacentral:rRNA from 1 species
GCGACCCCAGGAUGGGCGGGGCGACCCGCUGAGUUAAGCA